rnacentral:piRNA from 1 species
UAAAUGCGUGGCUACUUCACAGAAGGUGAC